AAGUAGUCAGUUCGUGCUUGCUAAAAUUGGAAUGAUACAGAGAAGAUUAGCAUGGCCCAUGCACAAGGAUGAUAUGCAGAUUUGGGAAGUGUUCCAUUAAAAA